UGACAAGAUUAACCAGACACGCACCUGGAGAAGAAGCUUUGCCGCUCGGAGGUGCCUCCUUCUUAUUGACAGUUGUGGGGGGGCCCGGACAGAGCUGUCCCAUGGGGUGCCUUUCACACACUUUGCCUUGGGGUAAAGAAGCGUUAUUUCCUCUUUCAGGCUGAAGACUCUCAUGUGACCGGCGUUCCAGGGGCAGUGCGGGCUCCGGAGCUAGGGGCUGAGGACAGUGACACAGCCAGCUGGGGCCGUCCUCCGCCGUAUUCAGAAGAGGCUGCUCUCCUGUACUUGCACAGGACCCUGCGGUUUCUAAGAGUUCUCUGCCGUUUCCCUGCCCGAGCGACAGCCAACACCAGGUCUAGCCUCACUGGAUACAUGAUCUCCAGCCAUCAGCUAACAUAGAGCCUGACCUUGCUCGAGUGAUCUCCGUGCAAGUUUGCUGAAUGAAUAAAGGAGCAGGCCUCUCCGCAUGGCCUCCUGGCCCAUCAACCCCUCACAGCCUCACUGCCCCUGCCCAGCCUGAGCCCGCAGCUUACAGAGCUGCCCCAGGCCUCAUGCCACAGCUGGCUUCCCUGACAUCAGGGCAUCAGUCACCGUCCUGAUGAAGACGCGCCCCAAUCUGUGCCUCCAGCCCCGGCCCCUGCAGCUACUUCCGCAGUUACGUGCCAGGCCUUGCUACCCAAGGUGCCCACACCCCAAAUUCAGCCAGCCACAGCGCAGACUCACC